rnacentral:lncRNA from 10 species
UUUGAAUGAUUUCAAGGUGACAUCCAGAAGGCAACUAAAAAUGUGAAUCUGAAGCUCUGGAAACAGCAUCAGAUUGGAACUACAGAUUUGAGAGCCUUGAGAAUUUAUUACAUCACUCAUGAAGAACACGCGCGAAAGCUCACCAGUUGACGGGAUGCUUGGGGAUUUGCAACCGCCUCAUCGCUGCCCCCUACCGGCGCAUAUUCAAAACGUCUCUGCGAAAAGCUGUUAUUACCUUCGGAGCCAACAGGGGCUGCUCGUUUACCCACAGACAGUCGGAAAAAAAUGGCCGCCGGAUCACAGAGAGCAAAAAGCAGGGCUAAUCUUCCGAAGA